rnacentral:rRNA from 1 species
CACGCCGUAAACGGUGGGCACUAGGUGUGGGACCCUUCCACGGGUUCCGUGCCGUAGCUAACGCAUUAAGUGCCCCGCCUGGGGAGUACGGCCGCAAGGCUAAAACUCAAAGGAAUUGAC